ACACCUCAACUCUCAUGGCUUGCCAUGAUGAGCUUGGACUUUGGGGGUCUUGUUGGCCUGUGAGCCAGCUCCUCUUAAAUGAAUCAGCUUGCCAGUGUUUGGUGGCAUCACGAGUGUGAUAACUAUCUACGCUUGUGAUUUCCCACCAGGUAACCUUCAGCAAUGGAGGUUCGCUGGAGCUUAUAAACGUCUCUCCUCGGCGAGGACAACUUUUGAAU
rnacentral:misc_RNA from 1 species